GAUGAACGCUGGCGGCGUGCCUAAUACAUGCAAGUCGAGCGAACAGACGAGGAGCUUGCUCCUCUCACGUUAGCCGAGCACGGGUGUGUAACACGUGGAUAACCUACCUAUCAGUCUGGGAUAACUUCGGGAACCCGGCGCUAAUACCGGAGAAUAUAUUGCACCGCAUUGUUCAAUAGUGAAAGACGGCUUUGCUGUCUCUUAUAGAUGGAUCCGGGCCGCAUUAGCGAGUUGGUAAGGUAACGGCGUACCACGGCAACGAUGCGUAACCGACCGGAGAGAGUGAUAGGCCACACUGGAGCUGAGACACGGACAAGACGCCUAAGGUAGGCAGCAGUAGCGAAUCGGCCGCAAUGGUGGAGAGCAUGACGGAGCAGCGGCGCGUGAGUGAUGAAAGCGCUGGGAUCGUGAUACUCUGUUAUGAGUGAAGAACAAAUGUGGAAGGAACUAAGCACGGAUUGACGGUACCUGAUCAGAAAGCCACGGCUAACUACGUG
rnacentral:rRNA from 1 species